AAUAGAUACCCGGGUAGUCCACGCCGUAAACGAUGUCGACUUGGAGGUUGUUCCCUUGAGGAGUGGCUUCCGGAGCUAACGCGUUAAGUCGACCGCCUGGGGAGUACGGCCGCAAGGUUAAAACUCAAAUGAAUUGACGGGGGCCCGCACAAGCGGUGGAGCAUGUGGUUUAAUUCGAUGCAACGCGAAGAACCUUACCUACUCUUGACAUCCAGAGAACUUAGCAGAGAUGCUUUGGUGCCUUCGGGAACUCUGAGACAGGUGCUGCAUGGCUGUCGUCAGCUCGUGUUGUGAAAUGUUGGGUUAAGUCCCGCAACGAGCGCAACCCUUAUCCUUUGUUGCCAGCGGUCCGGCCGGGAACUCAAAGGAGACUGCCAGUGAUAAACUGGAGGAAGGUGGGGAUGACGUCAAGUCAUCAUGGCCCUUACGAGUAGGGCUACACACGUGCUACAAUGGCGUAUACAAAGAGAAGCGACCUCGCGAGAGCAAGCGGACCUCAUAAAGUACGUCGUAGUCCGGAUUGGAGU
rnacentral:rRNA from 1 species